rnacentral:rRNA from 1 species
GUACACGCUGUGACUAGCAUAUCAAUAAGCGGAGGAAAAGAAACUAACAAGGAUUCCCUCAGUAACGGCGAGUGAAGCGGGAAGAGCUCAAAUUUGAAAUCUUCAAGGUUUUACCUUGACGAAUUGUAGUUUAAAGAAGUGUUUUCUGCUGAAGUUUUGGUAAAAGUUCUUUGGAAUAGGACAUCAUAGAGGGUGAGAAUCCCGUAUUUGACCAUUAUUUUCAGCUUUGUGAUACACUUUCAAAGAGUCGGAUUGUUUGGGAAUGCAGUCCAAAAUGGGUGGUAAAUUUCAUCUAAAGCUAAAUAUUGGCGAGAGACCGAUAGCGAACAAGUACCGUGAGGGAAAGAUGAAAAGAACUUUGAAAAGAGAGUUAAACAGUACGUGAAAUUGUCAAAAGGGAAGCGUUUGACACCAGUGUUGUUUUCUCGAAAAUCAAUUAAAAAUGGCUCGAUUUUGUAUUGCUUGAGACCUUAAAAGCUCACUGUACAUUUUUCGUGUCUUUUUUAAUGCACUUUUCGUUUAACAAGUCAACAUCAGUUUCUUUUGUUGUAAAAGGGUCAUUGGAAGGUGGCUUUCUUUUCGGAGAAAGUGUUUAUAGCCUUUGGCCUCUGCAAUCGGAGAGACUGAGGUCUGCAGCGUAGACUCUUCGGGGUUAGAUACAUUUGUGCUAAGUUAUAGCUUUUUAUAGACAACUUGUUGACUAUAAUUAGUCUUGUAGCUUACUCGCUUAUGCUAUUUUACCUACGCUUAGGAUGUUGAGUAGCGACAUACGCAC